UACGGGGGGGCAAGCGUUGUUCGGAAUUACUGGGCGUAAAGGGCUCGUAGGCGGCCAACUAAGUCAGACGUGAAAUCCCCAGCUUAACCUGGGAACUGCGUCUGAUACUGGAUGGCUUGAAUUCGGGAGAGGGAUGCAGAAUUCCAGGUGUAGCGGUGAAAUGCGUAGAUAUCUGGAGGAAUACCGGUGGCGAAGGCGGCAUCCUGGACCGAGAUUGACGCUGAUGAGCGAAAGCUAGGGGAGCAAACGGGG
rnacentral:rRNA from 1 species